ensembl:misc_RNA 7SK 7SK RNA
GAAAUUCAGAAUGACAUCCAGCUGCAACACCCACCACCCAGGUAAUUUUUGAUAGGUUUGUCUCACAUGGAUGGCUAGAAGGGUAUUCUUCUUUCCUCAAGAUUCCAAGUGGAGCCCUUCAAAAGCUGAGAACUUGGUUAAAAGAGGACAGCUUUCCAAAUAAAGGGGGAUCUGUCUUCAGUCAGAAAACAAAUUUCAGGUAAGUGGAGAUGAGAGAGAAACCCCUUUU